rnacentral:lncRNA from 1 species
CACCACCCAAGUUAAUUAACUAAGACAAUCACACAUGUUUUUGAAGAAUUACAAAAACCUCUAUAAAAUCACAUUAUAAGUAAUAUUUGUGGAAAGCAACAAGUAAUGAAUUUUUUCUUUAUUUUGUAUAUAUUCUUUUAAAUAUUGUUUCUAUAACAGGAAGAAACCUACCAUCCAAUGCAAACAAAUGGCAGAACAAUAAAAGAAAACUCUAUUUUCUGCAGAAACUAUUGAUUGAUGAUCCAAGUCUUGUUCAAAAUUGCUGCUCCUUUUGCUGCAGCUUUAUUUUGAUGCAUUCGGUCAAGCUACAGAGCAGCAGCACUGUACUUUAUGCUGAGAAUCCGCCCACCCCCUAGCAGUUGCAUUCUCCUCAAACUUGCAGCUAUUUGCUACCUCCUUACACAUUCUCCGGGUACACCAAACUCCUUUUUGGGAAAGACAACCUCUCGUCUCCAAGUGUCAUUAUGUAACUUGUAGUGCAAAACCUUGUCAAAUAUUCAGAAAUCAGUUCAGCUAUUAUUGGAUAAAAAUUCCAAGGUUUGAAUUCUGAUACACAUAGCAAAAUGUUUUUCAAGCCAUUAUAUUAAGAAAAAAGGAAUGUAAGUAGAGAUACAAUGCAUUUCGUGUACAGAUUUUAAUCCACAACCUUGAAUAAGGUUAACUCCUCCUGGGAUCUAUUAGUCUUAUUGGAAGGCAGCUCGUUUAAAAGCUUGAACUAAAUAAAUUUACUUGUUAUAAAUAAAUUCAUUUGUUACAGCUAAAGGAAUUUAUUUAUUGCAUCUUCAAUGAAAAAAUAGCCUUAAUUGUUAAUAAAAGUUUUUCAAUAUUUCAGUUUACGCAGUAGAAAAAGAACUUUGCUGAAACUUGGGGAAG